GGGUACGAUCAUACCAACGUUAAUGCACCGGAUCCCAACAGAACUUCGCAGUUAAGCGCGCUUGGGCCAAAGUAGCACUGGGAUUGGUGACCUCCCGGGAAGUCCUGGUGUUGCACCCU
rnacentral:rRNA from 1 species